rnacentral:rRNA from 1 species
CCUACGGGUGGCAGCAGUGAGGAAUAUUGGUCAAUGGCCGAGAGGCUGAACCAGCCAAGUCGCGUGAGGGAAGACGGCCCUCCGGGUUGUAAACCUCUUUUGUCGGGGAGCAAAGCGAACCACGUGUGGUUCAUUGAGAGUACCCGAAGAAAACGCCUCGGCUAACUCCGUGCCAGCACCCGCGGUAAUACGGAGGAUGCGAGCGUUAUCCGGAUUUAUUGGGGUUAAAGGGUGCGCAGGGGGAGGUGCAAGUCAGCGGUCAAAUUGCGGGGCUCAACCCCGUACUGCCGUUGAAACUGCAGCCCUUGAGUGCGCGAGAGGUAGGCGGAAUGCGUGGUGUAGCGGUGAAAUGCAUAGAUAUCACGCAGAACACCGAUUGCGAAGGCAGCAUACCGGCGCGCAACUGACGCUGAUGCACGAAAGCGUGGGUAUCGAACAGGAUUAGAUACCCCUGUAGUC